rnacentral:rRNA from 1 species
UACGUAGGGGGCAAGCGUUAUCCGGAUUUACUGGGUGUAAAGGGAGCGCAGACGGCAGUGCAAGUCUGGAGUGAAAGCCCGGGGCUCAACCCCGGGACUGCUUUGGAAACUGCAUAGCUGGAGUGCUGGAGAGGCAAGCGGAAUUCCUAGUGUAGCGGUGAAAUGCGUAGAUAUUAGGAGGAACACCAGUGGCGAAGGCGACUUACUGGACUGUAACUGACGCUGAGGCAUGAGAGCAUGGGGAGCAAACAGG